AUUGGAAUAGAGUUGGUAAGGAAGUCUGUGGGAUGGAAUAGAGAUAAAUAGAGCAGGAGGUAAGGCUAUGCGUAGCAACCACUAGCAACAUCCUGCCUGCAACUGCAAGGAGACGUUAUCCUGUACAGCAACAUUUAGAAUUCCUCAUGUAUAUAAUGCACAAUCCUCAUGUAUAAAAAGCACCACUCUGUGCUUUAUAUGCUACUUUAUAUGCUUUGUCUUAGCGACCAUGAUCAUCCAUCUCGUUCAGUGAUCUUAUCAAAGUGCUAGCUUGGGUACCAGGGCUGGAGCAUCUUCAUACAAACCAACCCCUGAGCGAGGACAUUGUCAUUGGUGCAAGGGGAAAUUUACCUCAACAGGCUACCAGUAUGUCGCUUUUCUCAAUUGUCGACAAUAUACUGAACUGUUUGACCAUCAAUUGUUUGAAAUACCUCAAAUGAUAAAGAGACCCAGGGCUUUGAAGCAAAACAUAUUUUUGCCUGUGGCAGAUCCGACUGCAAACACAGUCUGUUCCAGAGUUUGAAAUCCACCAAAAUGUCAGACGGACACUAAACGCUUUAGAUUUAAUGCGCAGACUCGAACAUGUGAUCAAUUCGUGUUCUUCGGUUGCCUAGGAAACAGGAACAACUUCGCCUCGGAAAGCGCAUGUAACCAGGCAUGUUCCACAGGCCUACGAAGACGCAAACGACAAAGAACGCCAGGCUUUUUGGAGCAUUUUCUGAGGAGGCCGUUUUAACUGUGAGUCCGGAAAACUAUUAUGAAAUUUUAGGAAAAUUUAUUUUAUUUAUUAGAUUUAUUUAAUGAAGUUGUAAAAUAUUUAGAUGAUUUUGUAUGAGGUAGUACAGAUUGGUAUAUCUACCUGAUAUAUUUGACCGCAAAUAUUUGUAUAUAAAACUUUUAAAAGUGUUGUUUAGUGAAGCUCCAACAUUGCAGUAUUUUUCAGCCAACACUUCCUGGUUUGCCAGGAUCUGGACUUGGGUUCAUUAGUAUUACUUAGCUGUGUUCAUUGUCUUU